AGAAUAGCAUUAUUAUUAAAAAAUUAGGAGUGCAUAUUGGCCCGUAUAGCAGGCAUUAAUAUCCCUGAU
rnacentral:sRNA from 1 species